CAGUCGAGCGAACUGAUUAGAAGCUUGCUUCUAUGACGUUAGCGGCGGACGGGUGAGUAACACGUGGGCAACCUGCCUGUAAGACUGGGAUAACUUCGGGAAACCGAAGCUAAUACCGGAUAGGAUCUUCUCCUUCAUGGGAGAUGAUUGAAAGAUGGUUUCGGCUAUCACUUACAGAUGGGCCCGCGGUGCAUUAGCUAGUUGGUGAGGUAACGGCUCACCAAGGCAACGAUGCAUAGCCGACCUGAGAGGGUGAUCGGCCACACUGGGACUGAGACACGGCCCAGACUCCUACGGGAGGCAGCAGUAGGGAAUCUUCCGCAAUGGACGAAAGUCUGACGGAGCAACGCCGCGUGAGUGAUGAAGGCUUUCGGGUCGUAAAACUCUGUUGUUAGGGAAGAACAAGUACAAGAGUAACUGCUUGUACCUUGACGGUACCUAACCAGAAAGCCACGGCUAACUACGUGCCAGCAGCCGCGGUAAUACGUAGGUGGCAAGCGUUAUCCGGAAUUAUUGGGCGUAAAGCGCGCGCAGGCGGUUUCUUAAGUCUGAUGUG
rnacentral:rRNA from 1 species